rnacentral:rRNA from 1 species
UACGGAGGGUGCAAGCGUUGUUCGGGAUCAUUGGGCGUAAAGCGCGUGUAGGCGGCUUGGCAAGUCGGGUGUGAAAACCCGGGGCCCAACCCCGGUACUGCAUUCGAAACUGCCUCGCUAGAGUCCCAGAGAGGAAGGCGGAAUUCCCGAUGUAGAGGUGAAAUUCGUAUAUAUCGAGAGGAACACCAGCGAAGAAGGCGGCCUUCUGGACGGUGCCUGACGCUGAGACGCGAAAGCGUAGGGAGCAAACAGG